UUUUCACCCCCGCCUGACACGGGCGACAGCUGCGGCCUGCUGUGUUCACUCUGGCCAAGUCCAUCUCCUGUCAGGCAAGGGAGAGCCCCCCUG
rnacentral:pre_miRNA from 1 species